rnacentral:rRNA from 1 species
GAUGAACGCUGGCGGCGUGCCUAAUACAUGCAAGUCGAGCGAACGGACGAGAAGCUUGCUUCUCUGAUGUUAGCGGCGGACGGGUGAGUAACACGUGGAUAACCUACCUAUAAGACUGGGAUAACUUCGGGAAACCGGAGCUAAUACCGGAUAAUAUUUUGAACCGCAUGGUUCAAAAGUGAAAGACGGUCUUGCUGUCACUUAUAGAUGGAUCCGCGCUGCAUUAGCUAGUUGGUAAGGUAACGGCUUACCAAGGCAACGAUGCAUAGCCGACCUGAGAGGGUGACCGGCCACACUGGAACUGAGACACGGUCCAGACUCCUACGGGAGGCAGCAGUAGGGAAUCUUCCGCAAUGGGCGAAAGCCUGACGGAGCAACGCCGCGUGAGUGAUGAAGGUCUUCGGAUCGUAAAACUCUGUUAUUAGGGAAGAACAUAUGUGUAAGUAACUGUGCACAUCUUGACGGUACCUAAUCAGAAAGCCACGGCUAACUACGUGCCAGCAGCCGCGGUAAUACGUAGGUGGCAAGCGUUAUCCGGAAUUAUUGGGCGUAAAGCGCGCGUAGGCGGUUUUUUAAGUCUGAUGUGAAAGCCCACGGCUCAACCGUGGAGGGUCAUUGGAAACUGGAAAACUUGAGUGCAGAAGAGGAAAGUGGAAUUCCAUGUGUAGCGGUGAAAUGCGCAGAGAUAUGGAGGAACACCAGUGGCGAAGGCGACUUUCUGGUCUGUAACUGACGCUGAUGUGCGAAAGCGUGGGGAUCAAACAGGAUUAGAUACCCUGGUAGUCCACGCCGUAAACGAUGAGUGCUAAGUGUUAGGGGGUUUCCGCCCCUUAGUGCUGCAGCUAACGCAUUAAGCACUCCGCCUGGGGAGUACGACCGCAAGGUUGAAACUCAAAGGAAUUGACGGGGACCCGCACAAGCGGUGGAGCAUGUGGUUUAAUUCGAAGCAACGCGAAGAACCUUACCAAAUCUUGACAUCCUUUGACAACUCUAGAGAUAGAGCUUUCCCCUUCGGGGGACAAAGUGACAGGUGGUGCAUGGUUGUCGUCAGCUCGUGUCGUGAGAUGUUGGGUUAAGUCCCGCAACGAGCGCAACCCUUAAGCUUAGUUGCCAUCAUUAAGUUGGGCACUCUAAGUUGACUGCCGGUGACAAACCGGAGGAAGGUGGGGAUGACGUCAAAUCAUCAUGCUCCUUAUGAUUUGGGCUACACACGUGCUACAAUGGACAAUACAAAGGGCAGCGAAACCGCGAGGUCAAGCAAAUCCCAUAAAGUUGUUCUCAGUUCGGAUUGUAGUCUGCAACUCGACUACAUGAAGCUGGAAUCGCUAGUAAUCGUAGAUCAGCAUGCUACGGUGAAUACGUUCCCGGGUCU